CUCACUUCUCGGUUUUUUGCCCAACAUCAAAGUUUAGUAUCUGUUCUUAGCAGCUGAAUAUCUGAAACGGUCCCUAUUUGGGGUGACUAGUCAAGAAAGGAGAUGUAGAAAGGCUAUUUCUAAAUGAGUGGUAGUUAUACAUACAUGCACACCUAUAUGCAACAAAUAUUUGGAAUGCUUUCAUUAU